ACGCUCGACACCUACGGGAGCAGCAGUGGGGAAUAUUGCACAAUGGGGGAAACCCUGAUGCAGCGACGCCGCGUGAAGGAAGAAGUAUCUCGGUAUGUAAACUUCUAUCAGCAGGGAAGAAAGUGACGGUACCUGACUAAGAAGCCCCGGCUAACUACGUGCAGCAGCCGCGGUAAUCUGAGCGGGCUGGCAAGGC
rnacentral:rRNA from 1 species